CCUACGGGAGGCAGCAGUGAGGAAGAUUGGGCAAUGGAGGCAACUCUGACCCAGCCAUGCCGCGUGAGUGAAGAAGGUUUUCGGAUUGUAAAGCUCUUUCGGAGGGGACGAAGAUGACGGUAGCAUCGAAAGAAGCCACGGCUAACGUCGUGCCCGCAGCCGCGGUAAUACGAAGGGGGCAAGCGUUGGUCGGAAUGACUGGGCGUAAAGGGAGGGUAGGCGGUUUAGUUAGAUAGUGGUGAAAUCCCAGAGCUUUACUUUGGAAUUGCCAUUAUAACUAUUAGACUAGACUUACCGAGAGGCUAGUGGACUCCCCCGUGUAGCGGUUAACUUCGUAGAUCUUGGG
rnacentral:rRNA from 1 species